CAACUGAGCAGUCAUGCUUGUCCUUCUUGGAGACAGGUACAAGCAUGUGAGUGCAGAUACCCUCCAGAAGAGGGUGUAAGUCCCUUGGAACUGGAGUUACAGGUGCUGGGAACUAAACUCCAGUCCUCGGUGAGAGUAGUGAGCAGGCUUAAAAGAUGAAGCAUUCCCCUUUCUGCCGACUCAUCACAGACCAGACCAGAGUCCUCAUCCAGUGGCUGAUGGAAGCAGAGACAGACAUCCACAGAAAUACACUGAGCUGAAAUCUGGAACCUAGUUGAAGAGAGGGAGGAAUGAAGAACGAAGGGGUCUGUACCAGGUUGGAGAAACCCACAGAAACAGUUGGCCUGAAAAAGGGAAAGCAUAUGGACCCCAGACGCUCUUUGGGAGGCCAGUACGGGACUAAUCCAGCCCCUGAUCAUGGAUGCCAAUGGGGAGGCCCCUGCACUCCUGGGAGCCUCCGGAGGUGGACUGGUGUUUUGCCCUGUUGUGUGUGGGGGACUUCAAGAGCCCAUCCCACUUGAAGGGAUGCACUCUGUCUCUGAACACAUAGGGAGGGACCUAGGCCCAGCACAGGAAGAUUUGGUGGACUUGAUGGAGCCCUGGUUGGGGGCCCUACCCUGCCUGGGGAGUGGUGGG
rnacentral:lncRNA from 1 species